rnacentral:rRNA from 1 species
CUCGAUGAGUAGGGCGGGACACGUGGUAUCCUGUCUGAAUAUGGGGGGACCAUCCUCCAAGGCUAAAUACUCCUGACUGACCGAUAGUGAACCAGUACCGUGAGGGAAAGGCGAAAAGAACCCCGGCGAGGGGAGUGAAAAAGAACCUGAAACCGUGUACGUACAAGCAGUGGGAGCACAGAGCAAUCUGUGUGACUGCGUACCUUUUGUAUAAUGGGUCAGCGACUUAUAUUCUGUAGCAAGGUUAACCGAAUAGGGGAGCCGAAGGGAAACCGAGUCUUAACUGGGCGUUAAGUUGCAGGGUAUAGACCCGAAACCCGGUGAUCUAGCCAUGGGCAGGUUGAAGGUUGGGUAACACUAACUGGAGGACCGAACCGACUAAUGUUGAAAAAUUAGCGGAUGACUUGUGGCUGGGGGUGAAAGGCCAAUCAAACCGGGAGAUAGCUGGUUCUCCCCGAAAGCUAUUUAGGUAGCGCCUCGUGAAUUCAUCUCCGGGGGUAGAGCACUGUUUCGGCAAGGGGGUCAUCCCGACUUACCAACCCGAUGCAAACUGCGAAUACCGGAGAAUGUUAUCACGGGAGACACACGGCGGGUGCUAACGUCCGUCGUGAAGAGGGAAACAACCCAGACCGCCAGCUAAGGUCCCAAAGUCAUGGUUAAGUGGGAAACGAUGUGGGAAGGCCCAGACAGCCAGGAUGUUGGCUUAGAAGCAGCCAUCAUUUAAAGAAAGCGUAAUAGCUCACUGGUCGAGUCGGCCUGCGCGGAAGAUGUAACGGGGCUAAACCAUGCACCGAAGCUGCGGCAGCGACACUGUGUGUUGUUGGGUAGGGGAGCGU